GCAAUGUGUCAUGACUAUCCAAAAGAUAUAAAAUUUGAUAAAAAUACUAAAAUUAUUCUAUAUAAUUCAAUCUUUCGAUCACACAACAUCCCAGAUAGAUCAUGGGUAUGGAAAAAUAUCAAGCUCGAAUACCUAUCUAUAUGUAUCUCGAUCUGAUGAUAACUCGAUUGAUGAAUCAGUAGAGAUCUUUUCUAUUAUUCAUUCUUGCUCUGGCCAGGAACUUUCAGAGUCAUCAUCCUAUGAGAUCA
rnacentral:lncRNA from 1 species